UCAAACUGAGGAAACUAAAACGAAAUCAGCUCCCCUCGCCUUUAACCUUGACGCCGCUCACCAACAGCACGACCUCGCACGAUCGCCAUCGCGAGCUGCGUGGCAUCCGUCUGCGUGAUCGCAAGAGCAGGGAGGCGACGCGACGGAACCCCCAGGACCCUGCCAUCGCAGCGUGUCAUCCGUCCGCGGGAUCGCCAGGAGCCUGGCUCCCGAUCCAGUCUCUCCCAAAAAAUCGCCAUUGCCACCCCACCGCCUGCCGCUGCUCCUCUGCUGGCUCGAGUGAACGGAGCCAAUCGGUGGAAGGAAGAGAUGGGCGGCGGCGGGGGAGGCGACGGUGCGGGCGUCACACAAGGAGUCCCGGGUCAUCUCCGCCACCACGCGCGCCGAUGCCGCCGUGCGCCGCGAGCAGAUCCUCGCCGGCCGCGCAUCCUUCGCCGACCUGGCCGUGCUUCGCGACCAGAUCCUCGCCGGCCGCGCUUCCUUCGCCGACCUCGCCGUGCAGCAAUCUGACUGCUCCUCCGCCCGCCUCGGUGGCGACCUACGCUGCUACUUCUUUCCACGAGUCCAGGAGUUGCUCACGUACGUCUGGAUACGGAUGAGCGUAUGCUCAAAGAUUGACCGUGGAUGGUCAUGCCGAUAGGCGACGACCACUGCGAGUAAUUGCUCCCUGAUCCCCUCCAUCUCAGAGUUGCCAACAGCCUCUGUGUCACCACUCACCAAAUGCCACUGCAUCAUCCAGGUGCCUUCAUAUUUUUUAGAGAAGAGUUCAUGACAGUUUGCAACCGUAUGAUGUCUGAUGAUUGCCUGCAUACACGGAUGAUGUGAAGAGACUGUUGGCAGGUUCUGAGAGCUGAGAAGAGGGAUGCAGGGAACAUCUACGUGUACAGCAUCAUGGGCGUAUUUGAAGUUGACCACCAAGGAGAACAAAUAUGUCCUACAUCGAGAUGGAGCGCAUAGUGCUGGAUCAGUUGGAUCAGACAGUUAGAAUCAUGGUCUUCAUGUUCCAGUACACCUGCUUCUUCUGUUAGCGUUUCUAUUUACUCUAAUUAAUCAAGGUCAAUCGUUGUUUCUGUUAGCGUUUCUGUUUACUCUAAUUAAUCAUAUACAGUUAGAACCAUUAUUUUUUUUUACUUCCAGUUAUAACA